GUCACACCAUAAACUGCCUGAUUGCCAAGUCUUUUUCCUCUGGUGGCUCAGGCAUCGUAGCCUGAGUCACCUGAGGAGGCUUUUUCCUUUUAUUAUGCACUAUGAAGUCC
ensembl:miRNA